rnacentral:rRNA from 1 species
AGGACGAACGCUGGCGGCAGGCCUAACACAUGCAAGUCGAACGCACCGCAAGGUGAGUGGCAGACGGGUGAGUAACGCGUGGGAACCUACCCUUUGGUACGGAACAUACCAGGGAAACCUGGGGUAAUACCGUAUAAGCCCUUCGGGGGAAAGAUUUAUCGCCAUUGGAUGGGCCCGCGUCGGAUUAGCUAGUUGGUGAGGUAACGGCUCACCAAGGCGACGAUCCGUAGCUGGUCUGAGAGGACGAUCAGCCACACUGGGACUGAGACACGGCCCAGACUCCUACGGGAGGCAGCAGUGGGGAAUAUUGGUCAAUGGGCGAAAGCCUGAACCAGCCAUGCCGCGUGAGUGAUGAAGGCCUUAGGGUUGUAAAGCUCUUUCGACGGGGAAGAUAAUGACGGUACCCGUAGAAGAAGCCCGGCUAACUUCGUGCCAGCAGCCGC